rnacentral:rRNA from 1 species
UACGUAGGGUGCAAGCGUUGUCCGGAAUUAUUGGGCGUAAAGAGCUCGUAGGCGGUUCGUCGCGUCGGCUGUGAAAACCCGGAGCUCAACUCCGGGCCUGCAGUCGAUACGGGCGGACUAGAGUUCGGCGGGGGAGACUGGAAUUCCUGGUGUAGCGGUGGAAUGCGCAGAUAUCAGGAGGAACACCGGUGGCGAAGGCGGGUCUCUGGGCCGUUACUGACGCUGAGGAGCGAAAGCGUGGGGAGCGAACAGG